rnacentral:rRNA from 1 species
CCUACGGGAGGCAGCAGUGAGGAAUAUUGGUCAAUGGGCGAAAGCCUGAUGGAGCAACGCCGCGUGCAGGAUGAAGGCCUUCGGGUUGUAAACUGCUUUUAUAAGCGAGAAAUAUGAUGGUAACUUAUGAAUAAGGAUCGGCUAACUACGUGCCAGCAGCCGCGGUCAUACGUAGGAUCCGAGCAUUAUCCGGAGUGACUGGGUGUAAAGAGUUGCGUAGGUGGCAUAAUAAGUAGCUAGUGAAAUCUGGUGGCUCAACCAUUCAGACUAUUAGCUAAACUGUUAAGCUCGAGACCGUUAGGGGUAACUGGAAUGUCUAGUGUAGGGGUGAAAUCCGUAGAUAUUAGAAGGAACACCAAUAGCGUAGGCAGGUUGCUGGGACGGUUCUGACACUAAGGCACGAAAGCGUAGGGAGCAAACGGGAUUAGAUACCCCUGUAGUC